rnacentral:rRNA from 1 species
UACGAAGGGGGCUAGCGUUGUUCGGAAUUACUGGGCGUAAAGCGUGCGCAGGCGGCUUCUCAAGUCAGGGGUGAAAGCCCAGAGCUCAACUCUGGAAUUGCCUUUGAGACUGAGAAGCUUGAGUACGAGAGAGGUGAGUGGAAUUCCCAGUGUAGAGGUGAAAUUCGUAGAUAUCGAGAGGAACACCGGUGGCGAAGUCGGCCUUCUGGACAGCAACUGACGCUGAGACGCGAAAGCGUGGUGAGCAAACAGG